GACGAACGCUGGCGGCGUGGAUUAGGCAUGCAAGUCGGACGGUAGGGCUUUAUCGUAAGAUAGAGUUUGAGGGUGGCGAACGGGUGAGUAACACGUAGGAAUCUACCCUUAAGACGGGGACAACCCAGGGAAACUUGGGCUAAUACCGGAUGAGAGUGCGAGAGAUUGCAUUUAAAAGGAUGGCGAAAGUUGUCGCUUAGGGAUGAGCCUGCGGUCUAUUAGUUAGUUGGUGAGGUAAGAGCUCACCAAGGCGAUGAUAGAUAGGCGGCCUUAACGGGUGGUCGCCCACACUGGGAUUGAGAUACGGCCCAGACUCCUACGGGAGGCAGCAGUCGAGAAUAGUCUACAAUGGCCGGAAGGCUGAUAGUGCGACGCCGCGUGAACGAGGGAGCCCUUCGGGUGUAAAGUUACUUUUCUAUUACGAGCAGUGCUAUAUAUAUGGAUAGUAUAUAUAGAGGGAUAGUAGUAUAGGAAUAAGCAACGGCUAACUCCGUGCCAGCAGCCGCGGUAA
rnacentral:rRNA from 1 species